rnacentral:rRNA from 1 species
CCUACGGGGGGCGGCAGCAGGGAAUCUUGCGCAAUGGGCGAAAGCCUGACGCAGCAACGCCGCGUGGGGGAUGAAGGCCUUCGGGUUGUAAACCCCUUUCAGGAGGGAAGAAAUUGACGGUACCUCCAGAAGAAGCACCGGCCAACUACGUGCCAGCAGCCGCGGUAAUACGUAGGGUGCAAGCGUUAUCCGGAAUCAUUGGGCGUAAAGAGCUCGUAGGCGGUUCAACAAGUCGGCUGUGAAAGUCCGAGGCUCAACCUCGGAAUUGCAGUCGAUACUGUUGUGACUCGAGUCCGGUAGAGGAGAACGGAAUUCCCGGUGUAGCGGUGAAAUGCGCAGAUAUCGGGAGGAACACCAGUAGCGAAGGCGGUUCUCUGGGCCGGCACUGACGCUGAGGAGCGAAAGCGUGGGGAGCAAACAGGAUUAGAUACCCUGGUAGUCCACGCCGUAAACGUUGGAUACUAGGUGUGGCGGUCUAACCAACGACUGCCGUGCCGAAGCUAACGCAUUAAGUAUCCCGCCUGGGGAGUACGGCCGCAAGGCUAAAACUCAAAGGAAUUGACGG